CACACAACCCAGGGUGGCCUUGAACUUCUGAUUCUCUUGCCUCCACAUUGCAAGUGCUGGGACUACAGGGGUCCAUUACAGAUAGAUCAUAAUGUCCAGAUCUUGUAUGUUGUUUUUAAUUCAUAAAGAAUCAGCUAAUGAAAGUGGGUCAUGUGCAUUGAAAGAAAGCCAGGUAUACUAGAAGCAUGUCCGAUCUUCCCUGCAAGACAGAGCCUGCCUAUCUUUUCCACUCCUAUCUCUCCACUCUGUCCCACACCCACUAGGGGCUCAGUAGGCCAGUUCUCAACCCUUACCUCCUUCCUGUUCCCAGUGACAACCACAGCCAACAGGCCAAGGUGCUGCACUGUCAAUUUCCCCUGCAUAGAGUUUUAAAAACAAUAACUUCAAUUUUAGGAUGCUUUUGGAUUCAUUUAAAAUUUGCCAAAACAAUACAAAGAAUUCCCAUAUUCCCACACCCACUUCCUCUGUCAUCAACAUCUCAUAUUGGUAUGGUCUCUUUUUUCACAGUUCACAAGCUAGCAGCAACUAUAUCCCGUACUUUAUUUGCAUAUCCUUUGAUUACACUCAAUGCUUUCCAGGGUCCAAUUUGGGAUCCCACUCUAUGUUUGUUCAUUACAUCUCCUUAGGCCCCCCUUGACUAUGACAAUUUCUCAGAUUUUCCAUGUUUUUGAUGUCUUUGAGCACUGGUUUUGCAUUUUGUAUCCCCUCCUUUGGAUAGGUCUGCUGUUUGAGUCAUGAUGAGACAGGAGUCAUAGGUUUACCGAAGGAACUAUAGGACUAAAGGCCAUUCUUAGCAUAUUAAAUUAAGGAUACACAUUAUCAUCAUGACUCCACACUAUUGAUGCUGACUUUGCCUCCUAUGCAGAUGGAUUGCUCUUUACAUACUGCCAAAUGAUUUCCCUGUGCUUUUCAUGUCCAGAGUGACCCAGGACCCUGGCUGCCUUCGACAAAGAUUAGAUGUGUUACAGACAAUAAAGAAUCUAUAUUUCAUUGGUACAUCAAAAUUGUUUCUUGGGUCUUCAAACCCAUUUCACACAAAAUUUAGAACAUUCUUAUUUUAAAAAUAAAUUCAAAUGGAUUCAGUAACCCCAAU
rnacentral:lncRNA from 1 species